AUUGAACGCUGGCGGAAUGCUUUACACAUGCAAGUCGAACGGCAGCACGGGUGCUUGCACCUGGUGGCGAGUGGCGAACGGGUGAGUAAUACAUCGGAACGUGCCCAGUUGUGGGGGAUAGCCCGGCGAAAGCCGGAUUAAUACCGCAUACGAUCUCUGGAUGAAAGCGGGGGACCUUCGGGCCUCGCGCAGCUGGAGCGGCCGAUGGCAGAUUAGGUAGUUGGUGGGGUAAAGGCCUACCAAGCCUGCGAUCUGUAGCUGGUCUGAGAGGAUGAUCAGCCACACCGGGACUGAGACACGGCCCGGACUCCUACGGGAGGCAGCAGUGGGGAAUAUUGGACAAUGGGGGCAACCCUGAUCCAGCAAUACCGCGUGUGUGAAGAAGGCCCUAGGGUUGUAAAGCACUUUUGUUAGGGAGAAUGGGAUUUAUUGUUAAUACCAAUAGAUUCUGAUGUUACCUAAGAAUAAGCACCGGCUAACUCCGUGCCAGCAGCC
rnacentral:rRNA from 1 species